rfam:Fimbriiglobus ruber strain SP5 contig04, whole genome shotgun sequence.
CCCCGGAUUCACAUCCGGGGCUACCUUGUGCCGCCCCUAGCGGGGCU